AUAAUUUAAUGGAGAUGCGACGCCGCACGACUACACCGAAUCGGACAGCUCUUGCUGGCGCUCCGGAUGAUCCAAUCGUUAUAGAAGAUCUCCGUGUUGCGACAGAAGAGUAUCAGUUGGUAGAGUACGUCCCAGGUCUUCCUUCCUGUGCAAGAACACUACCGAAAAAGGAAAAAUUUAGCUGUUGCGA